rnacentral:pre_miRNA from 2 species
GGACUAUGGUGCAGCCAAGGAUGACUUGCCGAUCGACAGAUGCUUCGCUUCCUCCAUCUGAUCGUCAGAUCACUGGAUGCGUGUGCUGAUCGAUCGGCCAUCGGCAAGUUGUCCUUGGCUACACCGUAGCCCCU